rnacentral:rRNA from 1 species
CCCCUGUGAACAUACCACUUGUUGCCUCGGCGGAUCAGCCCGCUCCCGGUAAAACGGGACGGCCCGCCAGAGGACCCCUAAACUCUGUUUCUAUAUGUAACUUCUGAGUAAAACCAUAAAUAAAUCAAAACUUUCAACAACGGAUCUCUUGGUUCUGGCAUCGAUGAAGAACGCAGCAAAAUGCGAUAAGUAAUGUGAAUUGCAGAAUUCAGUGAAUCAUCGAAUCUUUGAACGCACAUUGCGCCCGCCAGUAUUCUGGCGGGCAUGCCUGUUCGAGCGUCAUUUCAACCCUCAAGCACAGCUUGGUGUUGGGACUCGCGUUAAUUCGCGUUCCUCAAAUUGAUUGGCGGUCACGUCGAGCUUCCAUAGCGUAGUAGUAAAACCCUCGUUACUGGUAAUCGUCGCGGCCACGCCGUUAAACCCCAACUUCUGAAUGUUGACCUCGGAUCAGGUAGGAAUACCCGCUGAACUUAAGCAUAUCAUAAGCGGG